GCAGAGCAUCCUACGGGAGGCAGCAGUGGGGAAUAUUGCACAAUGGGCGCAAGCCUGAUGCAGCCAUGCCGCGUGUAUGAAGAAGGCCUUCGGGUUGUAAAGUACUUUCAGCAGUGAGGAAGGUGGGUAUGUUAAUAGCAUACUCAUUUGACGUUAGCUGCAGAAGAAGCACCGGCUAACUCCGUGCCAGCAGCCGCGGUAAUACGGAGGGUGCGAGCGUUAAUCGGAAUUACUGGGCGUAAAGCGCAUGCAGGUGGUUGUUAAGUCAGAUGUGAAAGCCCGGGGCUCAACCUCGGAAUUGCAUUUGAAACUGGCAAACUAGAGUACUGUAGAGGGGGUAGAAUUUCAGGUGUAGCGGUGAAAUGCGUAGAGAUCUGAAGGAAUACCGGUGGCGAAGGCGGCCCCCUGGACAGAUACUGACACUCAGAUGCGAAAGCGUGGGGAGCAAACAGGAUUAGAUACCCCGGUAG
rnacentral:rRNA from 1 species